rnacentral:rRNA from 1 species
UACGAAGGGGCUAGCGUUGCUCGGAAUCACUGGGCGUAAAGCGCACGUAGGCGGAUUGCUAAGUCAGGGGUGAAAUCCUGGAGCUCAACUCCAGAACUGCCUUUGAUACUGGCGAUCUCGAGUCCGGGAGAGGUGAGUGGAACUGCGAGUGUAGAGGUGAAAUUCGUAGAUAUUCGCAAGAACACCAGUGGCGAAGGCGGCUCACUGGCCCGGUACUGACGCUGAGGUGCGAAAGCGUGGGGAGCAAACA